rnacentral:miRNA from 1 species
CACAAGAAUUGCGUUUGGACA